rnacentral:rRNA from 1 species
UCGUAACAAGGUCUCCGUAGGUGAACCUGCGGAGGGAUCAUUACAAAUUCAGUGGGGCGUCGGCUUCGGCCGGCGCGUCGCGUCAACCUCUGUGAACCAUCCCUGUUGCCUCGGGGGCGACCCUGCCGUCUCGGCGGUGGGGGCUCCCGGUGGCCCUCUUCAAACACUGCGUUUAUUUGCGUCGGAGUUUAAACAAAUCAAUCAAAACUUUCAACAACGGAUCUCUUGGUUCUGGCAUCGAUGAAGAACGCAGCGAAAUGCGAUAAGUAAUGUGAAUUGCAGAAUUCAGUGAAUCAUCGAAUCUUUGAACGCACAUUGCGCCCUUUGGUAUUCCGAAGGGCAUGCCUGUUCGAGCGUCAUUUCACCACUCAAGCCUGGCUUGGUAUUGGGCGUCGCGGGUCACCGCGCGCUUUAAAGUCUUUCCGGCUGAGCGACCCGUCUCUAAGCGUUGUGGCAACUAUUCGCGGCGAGAUUGGGUGGCGACGGCCGUUAAAUCUUUCUUAAGGUUGACCUCGGAUCAGGUAGGGAUACCCGCUGAACUUAAGCAUAUC